UCGGACGUGGUGCACGGCGCACCCCCGCUCUCGCUUAGCGGCAGCCAUUCUCAAUUGAGUAUAAUGCGGGAACCCCGGGUUCGACUCCCGGCGUCCGAA